CUCAUCUUCAUCUUCAACCCCAAUUUUUAGUUUUGUUCUUCCACCUCAGUUUUGACAAUGAAAUCAUAAGCUCUGUUCUCAAGAAAACUAGGAGACCCUUUUCCAAGCCCGUGGAUCAAAACUUUGCAGCCAUCUCAAUUUAGGGAACAUCAAGCAGUAAUGCUUUGGAAGAUGGAGUUGACGAAGCCUCUGCCUUCAAUCAUGUUAGUCCAAAUGGCACGACAGAAGCUGAAGUCAGAGGCACUGGCACUGGCAUGGCAAUCCAUUAGAUGCUGGAUCUGUGCAAAUUUUGGAGGAUUUGCAACAUGAGCAAAUGGACAAUGACUUGGUGGAUUCAGGGGAUGAAAUGGCUCAUGGUGCAUUGGUGACUUGGCUCAGUAUAAAAUCCUAUUCGAUCUGCAAUCUUCGAUUUUGAGAUUUGCUUUUGUGUUUUGGUUUGAGCUGCGGUUACAAAUUUGUGAUAUUUGAUUCGGUUAUCACAUGAGGUGGAGGUUAGUGUGUAGUGUUGGUUUUUAAAAGUAGAUCAAGCUUGGUGGUAGUUAUGGAGUUUUAGUUUGCAUAAAUGAUGAAGACGGUGAAAUGAAGAGACGUUUUGCAGAGAUGGUUUAAUGAAGAUGCGUGCUUGAAGUUACGGUUUUCGAGACAGUUUUGUGUUGUAAUAAAAUGUUUGGACUUUUUGUAACCCAAAAAAAAAAAAAAAGUUUGGGCUUUUUAAUAAAUGUUUGUUUUGGGUGUUUUUUGAGUUUUUUUUCUGUUGGGCUUGAUAGUGGCAGUGCUGUAAUUUAUUGGAACUUCAACACUAAUUUGUUAUUUAAUAAAUGGAUUUUGGGUGUGUUUA